rnacentral:misc_RNA from 1 species
GAUGAAGAACGCAGCGAAAUGCGAUAAGUAGUGUGAAUUGCAGAAUUCAGUGAAUCAUCGAAUCUUUGAACGCACAUUGCGCCCCUUGGUAUUCCAUGGGGCAUGCCUGUUCGAGCGUCAUUUGUACCUUCAAGCUCUGCUUGGUGUUGGGUGUUUGUCUCGCCUCUGCGUGUAGACUCGCCUCAAAACAAUUGGCAGCCGGCGUAUUGAUUUCGGAGCGCAGUACAUCUCGCGCUUUGCACUCAUAACGACAGCGUCCAAAAGUACAUUUUACACUCUUGACCUCGGAUCAGGUAGGGAUACCCGCUGAACUUAAGCAUAUCAAUAAGCGGAGGA